rnacentral:rRNA from 1 species
UGGGUAGCUAUGUACGGAAUGGAUAAGCGCUGAAAGCAUCUAAGCGCGAAGCCAACUUCAAGAUAAGAUUUCCCACCGCAAGGGUAAGACUCCAGAAAGACUAUCUGGUUGAUAGGUCGAAGGUGUAAGUGCAGCAAUGUAUUUAGCUUAUCGAUACUAAUAGGUCGAGGACUUGACCAAUAUUUAUU